AUUGGGUUUUCCUACUUGUUUAUGUCCAUAAUCUACAUCAAACCAUAUUUUUGUGUCAUACUAACCUACCCAAACUGUGUAACUCAGUCUACAAUUAAAGAAACAAAACUCUAGUAAUAUUAAGAAGCUGAUAGUGACUGAGUCCAACAAAGUUGUCAUGGCUACCUCAUAUGGUUGUCAGGUUUAAUGCAACACUAUUUAAUGUAAUUAGAGUAUAUCAAUCUAUCUUCUUUGGGUCCCAAAUGGUUUGUGAUCUUUUCUUAGAUGCUGCCUUGAAGCAGCUAACAUUUUCAUGGUGAUCAGGGACUUGUUAAAAGGCAAACGAGAAUUACAUCUAAAUGCCCUCCCAAUGAGAUUAUCUCAAAAAUUGAAGAAGCUGCCACACCCUUGGGGUUUGGAGUGAAGCAGAAAAACUACAAGAUGAAGCUUGAGGGCUCAAAAACUGGAUUGAAAGGCCAGUUGUCCAUUGCAACAGAGUUGUACAAGGACAUAUCAACUGGGUUGAAAGAUAUUGUAUGGAAGGCGUGAAAGGAAGUGAAGGUGUUCCAAACUGUUCGAUGCAAGUUAAUUGUACAUUAUUGAGACAGUAGUGGUGUGUAUACAAUGGCUUUCACCUGUAAACCUAUAAAAGUUCAAAUGUGGCUCUGUUGAAUCAUGUUGCCAUUCUCUUUGUAUUAAUUGGUAAGCUUCCAAUGAUGGAUGAACCAAUACAUUGACUUCAGGGAAAGUUUUACAUUCUACUACUCAGAAGGUAGACAUUUCAUUAAUAUUGGAACCAUAAUGAUUCUGCAUAUUAAGAAGUAUGUGAACACAAAGUUCAGCUGUAAUACACAAUAUUCAAGUUAAACAGGACUGUUUUUCAUC